CGCGACAUCUCAUGAGUUGACCACUUUCAAUCUGCAAUAAUAUGCAACCAAAAGUGUCG
rnacentral:snoRNA from 1 species